GGUGUCCGUGGUGUAAUGGUAUGCACGCCGGUUUGUGGAGCCGGAGGCCGGGGUUCGAAUCCCCGCGGAGACCU
rnacentral:tRNA from 1 species